rnacentral:rRNA from 1 species
CAGCCGCCACGGUAACACGAGGGGGGCAAGCGUUGUUCGGAAUUAUUGGGCGUAAAGGGUGCGUAGGCGGCUUGACAAGUCUUGUGUGAAAUCUAUGGGCUCAACCCAUAGUCUGCACGGGAAACUGUCGGGCUUGAGAAUGGGAGAGGUGAGUGGAAUUUCCGGUGUAGCGGUGAAAUGCGUAGAUAUCGGAAGGAACACCUGUGGCGAAAGCGGCUCACUGGACCAUUUCUGACGCUGAUGCACGAAAGCUAGGGGAGCAAACAGGAUUAGAUACCCCCGUAGUCCCUGUCUCUUAUAC